UCUGCACACUAUCAAAGCUUAGGGUGGAGGCCGAUCGUUGCCAAUGAACUUCUGAGUGUAAGAAAUGUAUUACAUUAAUGGCAGGACUUUGACUAACAUCAGUAAAGUUAGCCUCUAUAAUGGAGUUUGAUAGGACUCUCUGCCACGUUA
ensembl:snoRNA SNORA62 Small nucleolar RNA SNORA62/SNORA6 family